rnacentral:lncRNA from 1 species
UAUAGAAGAAUUUAUAACCUAGAGGAGAAAUGUUCUGUGCCUAUAUUUACACACACGGUGGAACCGUGGCAGGUAUCGUGACAUGCUUUCUUCAUACACUUUCUGGUAUUGUUGUGAGAUCAAAGCUUGGCAUUUUAUAAUUAAUGCACUGCAAACAAUGAAUCCUAUGAUGCCUCUUUAAGUUAAGAGUGGUUGUAACGUAGAGGAAAUAUAUUCUGUGUUUAUAUGUAGUGGAACCGUGGAAAGUAUUGUGACGCUAUCUUAUCCAUACACUUUCUAGUAUUGUUUUGAGAUUAAAACUUGACAUUUUAUAGUUAAUGCACUGCAAAUAAUGCCUCUUUAAAUUAGAGUGGUUUUUAAGAGAGAUAGGAGACGCGAACGCGAAAUGGACUUAGUUUAGAGCCUAUUUGGGAUUAUUUUUGGUAGAUUUAAAAGUAAUUUUAAAAAAUUAAAAAUUAUUUUUUGUAUUU